rnacentral:rRNA from 1 species
CCUACGGGAGGCAGCAGUAAGGAAUAUUGGACAAUGGACGCAAGUCUGAUCCAGCCAUGCCGCGUGAAGGAUUAAGGCCCUCUGGGUUGUAAACUUCUUUUAUAGGGGACGAAAAAAGGGCUUUCUAGCUCGACUGACGGUACCCUAUGAAUAAGCACCGGCUAACUCCGUGCCAGCAGCCGCGGUAAUACGGAGGGUGCAAGCGUUAUCCGGAUUCACUGGGUUUAAAGGGUGCGUAGGCGGGCAUUUAAGUCAGUGGUGAAAUCUUCGAGCUCAACUCGGAAACUGCCAUUGAUACUAUUUGUCUUGAAUAUUGUGGAGGUGAGCGGAAUAUGUCAUGUAGCGGUGAAAUGCUUAGAUAUGACAUAGAACACCGAUUGCGAAGGCAGCUCGCUACACAAAUAUUGACGCUGAGGCACGAAAGCGUGGGGAUCAAACAGGAUUAGAUACCCUGGUAGUCCACGCCCUAAACCUAUAGGAUACUCGACAUUUGCGAUACACAGUAAGUGUCUGAGCGAAAGCAUUAAGUAUCCCACCUGGAAGUACGACCGCAAGUUGAACUCAAGGAAUUGACGG